GCACAAAAAAUUUCUCUCUGCCAUAUUUCUCAAAGUCUCUCUCUCUCUCUCAUAUUUCUCAAUGCGAAUUCCUUUUCUUCUUCCCUUUUUUGCGAUUUUUCGAUGAUUUCUUAGAAUCUUGGGAAGAAAUUGUACUAAAGAUAUCCAAAAAAGAAAAAAUCCACAGGUAAAAACCCUAAAAAUCAUCGUCCUCUUUCCGGCCAUUUUACCCAAAACCACCGUCCAUCCACAAUCCCACGUUUUAAGCCUCACCCCUUCAUUUUUCAUUUCCUCUAUUCAUGUUCCGAUUCUCACCCAAAAAACAGAGGAAAGAAUAAGGGGGGAGAGAUCAGCAGAAAAAGAGUGAAGGGUUAGGGUUGAGUACCAGCGGCGGCGGAGGGUGAUGUGAACAAGGGGGCCUGGUUUUUGCAGCCUCGAUGAAGGAGAGACGGUGAAGUGCGUGCAAGAUUCGCCGCCUCUGAUUCUGCCCCUACGCAAGGCAGCACCGUUGGGGAAAAAACAACGACUGAGGUACAACGGAGGUAGCAGGUGGGCUCAAUGCAGAGAAAUCCAAGAAAGGAAAACCCCACUGAUCUCCAGUAGAUUGCCCAGGCUGCAAAUGCUUCUGCCCAAUGGAGUUUUCUUUAUAUGUGAAUUCAGUGUGUUCGAUGAGUUCUUCAAGAAGAUUAAAGGUGAAGCCGACAGGAACCUGGAAUUUCAACAAUCCAUAAGGGCGAUUAAGGAGAAAGCAGAGGACUUGAAAGGGGUGAAUGAGGAUCUGAAAGCUAGUUGUGGUUCACCCAUAGCCCAGCUCUUUAUCAUGGUUCGACUAAGGACAACGCACCCAAAUGGAAGGCUUCAGCCAGCACACCCCCCCGUUGUUGCCUCCACCUCCGCUACCUUCUGUCGAGUAAACCUUGACACCAUCCCACAUUUCAGGAACAUGUUUUCUUUCUUUUUACUUUUCAUUUCCUUAUUUCUGUGGGUCUGCAUGCAUACAUUGAGGACAAUAUAUGUGCUGGGUGUGGGGGAGGUAUGUUGUGCUUCUGCUUGUGAAGUUAUUGAUUUUUUGUGAGGUGGUUGGAUAGUCAUUUUAGAACGAUCCUUGCAAAAUUGGUUGUGUUGUUGAAAAUCUGAAUGUUUGAAAUUUGAAUUGAUGUGUUGGAAUAUGGAUGUGUGGGGAUUGAAAAUAUUUAAUUGGGUUUUGAAAAUUUUAAUUGAACACCGAAACUUGUGAAGAAAAUUAGUGUGUCUUGAAAAAAAUAUGUGAAUUAUCCCGCAGUAGCUGUUGAAUUUUCAGAUUGUUGUCUUGUGAUAUCCCGUACAUUAAUAGAAUUUUUUGGUAUAAGUUGAGGUAAGUAGGAGAAACUAGCACUAGUGGCAUAUUAAAAAAAAAUGUGUGAAGUGUGUUCCAUUGACUGCAUCAAAUGAACGAUGUUCAAGAAUCAACACAAAAGCCCUUUGUGUGAGCUUUUGAACCAAAGCACUUCCAUUUAAAUAGUGCUUCUACAUUUCUUUUGAUUGAGGGAAUCAAACUUAGUAUUUUCAUUCUAGAACUUGCUUGUGUAAUACAUUUUGAGACCACAAUCUUCUAAGAUUGGUGUAUGAAAGUGAUAAGGGCACUUAGGAGUAACCCAUUGACCU